ACCUCCCCUCUCUCCCUUUCCUCCCUUUGCCGCCACCAUCUCUGGACUUUGAAACCCAUAAUGUUCUUCAUAUUGCACAUUUCAAUCUAUUUACUUUUUAAACUAUUUUAUAUGUAGUUUUGUUUAGCCUUACCUUGGCACUAUUCAGAAUUAUUUUGCACUAUUCUUUGCACUAUUUAUUUAUUUAUUAGCUAUUUAAUUUUUUCUUAAUUUUCUCCUUCUCUCCUCAUGCACCGUGGGUUGAGACAAACGCUAUUCGAUCCCUCCGUUGGUCUGGCACAUAAUCUGGAGUUAACAAUAAAGCUGACUUUGACUUGGACUUGGAUCCCCACCAUGUAAUAGUUUCACAAAAGCCUUAAAAUCCAUUCCUAUAGACUGCAUAAUCUACUCACAUAUGAAUCUGAGAAUAUAUAAAAAUAAUAUUGAAUGCAUAACCACAUAUAUCCUCCAUACAAUAUCUUAAAUUGUGUUUCAGUAUGACAUCCAGUCACUCUCAAGACGAACACACAGAAGGGACUGAGCUCUGAUUGGCUGGUCGGUGCGCUGAGCGUGUGUGUGUGUGUGUGUGUGUGUGUGUGUGUGUGUGUGUGUGUGUGUAUGUGUGUGUGUGUGCGCGCAGUCGCUGCGUUGGUGGCAGAGUAGUGAAUGGGCAGAGAGAGGGGUGUGCUCUCUGAGAGGCAGACACACCAUCGGCAGGCAGAGCAGGAGCAGCACACACAACCUCCACGCACAACCUCCACGCACAACCUCCCCGAGAGAGAGAGAGAGAGAGAGAGAGAGAGGGAGGGAGAGCAAGGGAGACCAGGCGCACCUUUGCAAGGAUCAAUCCAGAGGACGUCGUCCAUCUUCCACUUCGUUGCCAGCGCCAGAUCGCUCUUGGAAUCACACCCUUUUCUAACUCCAUUCUAACGCCAUGGAGCAGAAAAUAAACGAGACUCCCACCAACACAUCGCCUCAGAAGCACAUGAAGAACCGCUCCAAGUCCACGGACGAGCUCCAGCACCCCCGCAGGGCUUUCUCCUCACAGAAGUCCUGCCAGGGAGACCAGAGCUGGAGCAUGUCAAGGUGAGGCUCCGAUGACACGAGUCCCCCACCUCCUCCACCGAGGAGCUGAAGGAGGAGCAGGAGUGACUUCCCCCGCCCUCCCCCUCCUCCUCCACCAUCACCCCCUCCUCCUCUUCCUCCUCCUCCUCCUCCUCCCCACCUCUCGCCCCCCUCCCCUAACCCUCCCAGAAGCCUGUUGUGGGACUGAUGACUGCUGUCCCCCCCACACCCCCAUGACGUCAUCUCACAACACACACACACACACACACACACACACACACACACACA